AUGUCUUGGUCCGGAGAGCCGGCUCCGGGAGCCGCGCGCCAGCUCCGCCCGGCUCAGCGGCCAUCCCGCACCGGAGUCCGCAGCUCUCGCGAGGACUGCCCCGCGUCGCGUUGGCAGUCGACGCCCCAUUCGGAAACCAAUCACCGCCUGGUCUGCGGACUCUUCCCUCUUGGGGCCAUCGCUGAAGCGCCAGCGGCCAAAACGAAGUUUAAUCCCUUUGUGACUUCUGACCAGAGCAAGAACCGAAAACGGCAUUUCAGUGCACCUUCCCACAUUCGCAGGAAGAUCAUGUCUUUCCCUCUUUCCCAAGAGCUGAGACAGAAGUACAACAUUCGAUCCAUGCCCAUCCGAAGGGAUGAUGAAGUGUAGGUUGUGCAAGGAUACUACAAAGGUCAGCAGAUUGGCAAAGUAGUCCAGGUUUACAGGAAGAAGUACAUCAUCUACAUUGAACGAGUGCAGCGAGAGAAGGCAAACAGCACAACCAUCCAUGUGGGCAUUCACCCUAGCAAGGUGGUUAUCACCAGACUAAAACUGGACAAAGACCACAAAAAGAUCCUUGAACGUAAAGCCAAAUCUCGCCAAGUAGGAAAGGAAAAGGGCAAAUAUAAGGAAGAAACAAUUGAGAAGAUGCAGGAGUAAAGUAAUCUUAUAUGCGACUUGAAAUAAAAACUGUUAAAAUAGA